GCGUUCGUGGUGUAGUGGUCAGCACGCUCGACGCGAAACCGAGAGGUCCGUGGUUCGAUUCCCGUCGAAGGUG
rnacentral:tRNA from 1 species